rnacentral:rRNA from 1 species
CAGCCGCCGCGGUAAUACGUAGGGUGCAAGCGUUAAUCGGAAUUACUGGGCGUAAAGCGUGCGCAGGCGGUUCGCUAAGACAGAUGUGAAAUCCCCGGGCUUAACCUGGGAACUGCAUUUGUGACUGGCUGGCUAGAGUAUGGCAGAGGGGGGUAGAAUUCCACGUGUAGCAGUGAAACGCGUAGAGAUGUGGAGGAAUACCGAUGGCGAAGGCAGCCCCCUGGGCCAAUACUGACGCUCAUGCACGAAAGCGUGGGGAGCAAACAGGAUUAGAUACCCCAGUAGUCCCUGUCUCUUAUAC